rnacentral:lncRNA from 1 species
GUUUACACAAUUGCUAAGGGAAACGUCACUUCCUGUGAAACAAUUAGAAUAUGGUCAAUGUUUCCAUAAUAUUUACAUUUCGAAAUUAACCUCUUUAUUUCAUAACUUGAUAUCUAUUCGGUAAGUGUGAUGAAGAAGAUUACGUCUUUUCAUACGAUAUUACUUGUAUUUUUAUUUUUUGCAACCUUAACCUAAGCUUAAUAAAAAUGAAAGUGUCGUGAUUCCUUGCUCUUCAAGUUAAAUUUUUUAUCGAUCUGUCAAUUUCUUUGGGACAUUAAUAUUGGGAUUCCGGUUAUGACCAUCUAAAUUAAAAUUUGUUAAGAUAUUGCAAAACUUAUGGUAGCAAGUUUUUGAAGUAAACAAGUCACAUGGGGGAGGGGGCGAUUUUGCCACCUAUUUACGCAAACUCCCUGGUAUACACCUUAUCGCUAUUUGUCCGCCAUUACUAGUUAUCACACAGGUUCCAAAACAAAAUAUCUGACGCCAAAAUGGAAAAGUGAUUGUUGUAUGCGUCAAAAGUUCAAGCGGCCGGGUCAGCCGGGAUUAGCGAUAAGGUGUAUUGAAUCAGAAUAUAGGUAUCAGGUCCAUUCGCACCCAAUAUUCUUUCGCACCCCACACAUUCGCACCUCAGAUGUUCGCCCCCCAAAGUUUGUUCGCCCCCCAAAGUUUAUUCGCACCCUACACGUAUUAGAAUUUCAGUUGAAUAAUUAGAUAUUUUAUCAUAUGUAUGUUAUAUAUACCAUAUUGAGAAAAAUGCAGUAGGAUAGCUUUUGCAAACGUACAAAACUUACAAUUUAAAUUUUGUAAACUUUUGUUAUUUAUCAAGUUUAUAAUUAUAUACAUGUAUGAGCACCAAUACCGGAAAUAGCAACAUUUAUGAAAAUCCCAGAUCUCUGUCUGACAAUGUCUGACAAAUGAAUUCUGUAAUGCACACACAAAUUUCUGAAUUAAUAAUCCAAUUCAUAAUAAUUAUUUUCAAAAUUUGCAGUGAGUGCAACAUUGUUUUGAUAAAUUGGAGUUUUGAUAAAUUUAUCAUUCUAUAAUGUUUUUAUUUGAUAAUAUAUAUAUAUAUUUUUAGGGUAAAAUAAUACUGUGUUCCGGUGAAGAAAAUAUAACUAACUGAAAAUGGGAGACGUGAGUGAAAUGUUUACAGUCUUAAGAUAUAUAUAUAUCCAUCAUUGUCCAUGUAAUGAAAGAAAAGAGUUUUUUAUUUUAAGCAUUUACAAUAAUACUACAUUUUCUUAUUUUUAUAUUGUUUGUUUGAAGCAUGUAAGAAAUAUCCAAGCAUAGAUGACCUGCACUAGAUAUGGUACAAUUUUUUUCUUUCUAUUUUUGGUUUCAACUAUUUUUAUAUAUAUAUUAACCAAACAUGUGUAAUGCAUACUUUAUUGUGAGCCUGGUAGCUUGGAUUAAUUUUAUGCGAGAGAUACUUUUUAUUUACAGAAGAAGAUUACCAUGGAGACAAUCCAGACUUAUGUGAGGCUUGACAAUGAGAUACAUAUGAUGGAAAUAAAAAACAUAAGGAAGAGCCUGAAGAUGAAAGAGGACCAGCUAAAAGAUGUACAGCAAACUGAAUCCCAGCUUAAAACACACUACAAAGAAUGUCAGGAUAAAACGUAAG